ACAUUUUGAGAAGUCAUUUUGCCUAGCAUUGGUAUAAGUGAUGUCAUAAUGUAUAAUUCCUGAUGUCACUGAUUUCAUAGUUUUUCCUGUUACCAAGAUACUAACAAAACAGUUUCCCUGCUGUGGGCAGAACAACUUAGAUCAGAGGAUGACCAACUGAAUGCCAACGCUCUCUGAGUCUGAACACCUUCAAGAGCAAUCAUGGCACGGCAAAGACGCCAGAGCAUCCAAAGUCGAAGAUCAGCACGCCAGAGAGGGCUCCGAUUAAAGAAAAAACCUGCUAGAAGAUAUCGGAAAAAACAGAGGAGAGUCGGCAGGCGACAAUCCCAUUACCGGAAAAGCUCUGUCUCAGUGUAGUCGGAGUGACUCGCUGAACAUGGAGGAAAACUGCCAUUCCCAGAUACCAACAUGGUGGAAAAUGACCAAGACCAUGGCAGAAACCUGAAACACCAAGCAACUGCAAGCAUUCAUGACAGGCAAUAAAGCAUCUGAAUGCA